UUGCGAGUUUUGAUCGUAUGGCCGUCGUUCCGAUGACAAUUAUGGCGGAGUAACAAGACCAGUAGAUUAUUUUUUUUUUAUCCUGCAAUAAUUUUAUCCGCGGUUAUCGUAACUUUACCGCGUGUGGGUGUUUCAAGGCGCAAACUGUUAAUGGCGACCGAGUCGCAACUUGAGGCUUCGAUAGCAAGUCAGGUGCGCCGCUAUCUACUGAUAAUGAAAACGAAAAUGCACGAAGGUGAUUCCUUUAUAUUUUUUUCUCUUAUUGUUAGACACAUUCUAUAUUAUGACCGAUCGCUAUGCGCUUUUACACAUGAUCAUCAGCGAAGGAAUCAUUGACCUUGAUACUUGAACUGCAGGAUGAAGGACUUAUAAUUAAUUCAUCGUUGUCACGACGGAGGUUCUAAACCAUCACAAUGAAGACUGUGAGACAUUCGCCUUCGAUUCAAGGAUAUAAUUCCACCACGGCCGGGGCUUUUGAAUCGUUACAUUAUCGGAACGAGGGGCAAGAGGAGGAGAAUUAUCCAUCGCUUUUUAUGAAAAUUUGUGGUUUUACGCCGGAAGUAAAUGGGUUUUUCUUUUUGUUUAUAAAAUACAAAAAAAAAACUAAACUAUAGAUCUUUAUAUUUAAUAAUAAUUGAGGUGAAUAGACCGUGAAGAUUGAUGAAAAAGUAUAUUUGAACAGGCCAAUUUUUCCCAUAGACAAUCCAAGGUGUAGUGAUAUUGUAAGGCUGUUUGCACUCUGGCGCCUCAGACCUAUUCCAUGCCGACAUUGUCUCAAUGAUCGUAAAAAGUAACUCUGACCCGGGACGACCCUGUAGAGUUCGGAUAUUGAAGUUUAGGGAUAAGUCGUGAUUAGGUUCGGUGUUGCAAUAGCCCCUAACUAAGCACCAGAGAGUAUAAUACCUGCUAGGACAACAAUGAGAAUCUCGAUUGACUAGACAAGACAACCUUUCGUGUAGAUGAAAUUCUUUCUUAAAGGGCCUGCCAACUGUCACACUGCAAGAUAGAGGAGUCUUCGGAUUCUAUUGGUUGUAAAAAAAUUAUUGUAUACCUGAUAUGUUUUAUUAUAAAGUAUAAUUUCGAAAACGAUAACAAUCCAAUUUUUACUAUACAUACCAAUAUUAUGUACACUUGGAAUUAGAUCGAUUCUUUCAACUUAGGAACUACCAUACAGCAGCUAUAGGUAUAUCGUAUAAGAUCAAGGAUUAUGGCACGACUAUUAUCAUACACUCAUAAUAAUUAGUUAAUCCAAUAUUGGGUUUAUCAAACGUAUUAUAGGAAUAACGUGCGUUUAAAUUUCAUGUAUAAUAAUGAAUUACAAA